rnacentral:rRNA from 1 species
AGUCAAGUAAUUAAGUGCAUGUGGUGGAUGCCUUGGCAGUCAGAGGCGAUGAAAGACGUGAUAGCCUGCGAAAAGCUCCGGGGAGGCGGCAAAUAUCCUUUGAUCCGGAGAUGUCUGAAUGGGGGAACCCACCUACUUUAAGGUAGGUAUUGCAACAUGAAUACAUAGUGUUGCAAGGCGAACGAGGGGAAGUGAAACAUCUCAGUACCCUUAGGAAAAGAAAUCAAUUGAGAUUCCCUCAGUAGCGGCGAGCGAACGGGGAUCAGCCCAUUAAGUUAUGUGUGUUUUAGUGGAACGCUCUGGGAAGUGCGAACGUAGAGGGUGAUAUUCCCGUACACGAAAGGGCACACAUAAUGAUGACGAGUAGGGCGAGGCACGUGAAACCUUGUCUGAAUAUGGGGGGACCAUCCUCCAAGGCUAAAUACUCCUGACUGACCGAUAGUGAACCAGUACCGUGAGGGAAAGGCGAAAAGAACCCCUGUGAGGGGAGUGAAAUAGAUCCUGAAACCGCAUGCAUACAAGCAGUGGGAGCACCUUCGUGGUGUGACUGCGUACCUUUUGUAUAAUGGGUCAGCGACUUAUAUUCAGUAGCGAGGUUAACCGUAUAGGGGAGCCGUAGAGAAAUCGAGUCUUAAUAGGGCGUUUAGUUGCUGGGUAUAGACCCGAAACCAGGCGAUCUAUCCAUGAGCAGGUUGAAGGUUGGGUAACACUAACUGGAGGACCGAACCCACUGUCGUUGAAAAGCCAGGGGAUGACUUGUGGAUAGGGGUGAAAGGCUAAUCAAGCCUGGUGAUAGCUGGUUCUCCCCGAAAGCUAUUUAGGUAGCGCCUCGGACGAAUACCAUAGGGGGUAGAGCACUGUUUCGGCUAGGGGGUCAUCCCGACUUACCAAACCGAUGCAAACUCCGAAUACCUAUGAGUACUAUCCGGGAGACAGACUGCGGGUGCUAACGUCCGUAGUCAAGAGGAAAACAAUCCAGACCGCCAGCUAAGGCCCCAAAAUCAUAGUUAAGUGGGAAACGAUGUGGGAAGGCAUAGACAGCUAGGAGGUUGGCUUAGAAGCAGCCACCCUUUAAAGAAAGCGUAAUAGCUCACUAGUCGAGUCGGCCUGCGCGGAAGAUGUAACGGGGCUAAAACUAUGUGCCGAAGCUGCGGAUGUAUACUUUGUAUACGUGGUAGGGGAGCGUUCUGUAAGCCGAUGAAGGUGUGUUGAGAAGCAUGCUGGAGGUAUCAGAAGUGCGAAUGCUGACGUGAGUAACGACAAAACGGGUGAAAAACCCGUUCGCCGAAAGACCAAGGGUUCCAGUCCAACGUUAAUCGGGGCUGGGUGAGUCGACCCCUAAGGCGAGGCCGAAAGGCGUAGUCGAUGGGAAAAUGGUUAAUAUUCCAUUACUUCUGUGUAAUGCGAUGAGAGGACGGAGAAGGCUAAAUCAGCCUGGCGUUGGUUGUCCAGGUGAAAGGAUGUAGGCAUGUAUCUUAGGCAAAUCCGGGGUACUCUAUGCUGAGAUCUGAUAGCAAGCUGUACUUGUACAGCGAAGUGGUUGAUGCCAUGCUUCCAGGAAAAGUCUCUAAGCUUCAGUUACACAGGAAUCGUACCCGAAACCGACACAGGUGGUCAGGUCGAGUAGACCAAGGCGCUUGAGAGAACUCUGCUGAAGGAACUAGGCAAAAUGGUACCGUAACUUCGGGAGAAGGUACGCUGUUGUUGGUGAUGGAACUUGCUUCCUGAGCUGACGACAGCCGCAGAAACCAGGCCGCUGCAACUGUUUAUUAAAAACA